rnacentral:lncRNA from 1 species
GCGCCCCCUCCAUAGGUGGUAUAUUUUCACUAUCAUUCACAUAUCUGCAUCUGUCUGCCGUAUUUAUAAAUAUCUUAGAUAAUUUCAAAUGGUAAGAAAACAUCAAAGUACACUGUCAAUAUAGGAAGAUGGUUUUAUGGUCUUCACAGGGAAAAUAGAGAGGAAAAUUUGAGGUAAAUUUGAGGAAAGUUUUUGAAUAAUAAAAUGAAUUUUUAAAGAUAGGAAAACAC